rnacentral:misc_RNA from 1 species
ACAUCUGUGCUCGCCUUCACACUCUUCAUCCACUCAACCCCUGUGCACUUUAUCAGAGUUAGUAAUAGUAUUGUGGUGGCGGCCAUUUGUUGUUAUUCAUUGUUAGAAGCGGGGGUAACCCUUUCUGGCAAUAGUAAUGAUAAUAAUCUUCGUUCUACUACUACUAUGAACACUUUGACUUUUAUUUAUACAAACACUUUGCUUGUUCUUGUGAAUGUGUAAUGCUCCUUGUGAGCGAAAUACAAAUAUACAACUUUCAACAACGGAUCUCUUGGCUCUCGCAUCGAUGAAGAACGCAGCGAAAUGCGAUAAGUAAUGUGAAUUGCAGAAUUCAGUGAAUCAUCGAAUCUUUGAACGCACCUUGCGCCCCUUGGUAUUCCGAGGGGCAUGCCUGUUUGAGUGUCAUGUAAUUCUCAAUCCUCUUCUUCUUAACUGAAGAAAAAGAGGCUUGGACUUGGAGGUAUACACAAGCUGGUACUGUUUGGUAUCGGCUCCUCUCAAAUACAUUAGCUGGACUGUAGUUCGCAUUGUUUGGUGUAAUAGUUCUAUCUUAUUUCACUACAGUGCUUACUUAGACGGGUCUGCUUCCAAUAGUCCGCCUAUGUGU